rnacentral:rRNA from 1 species
CCUACGGGAGGCAGCAGUGGGGAAUAUUGGGCAAUGGAGGAAACUCUGACCCAGCGACGCCGCGUGCGGGAUGAAGGCCUUCGGGUUGUAAACCGCUUUCAGUAGGGAAGAAGCGAAAGUGACGGUACCUACAGAAGAAGCACCGGCUAACUAUGUGCCAGCAGCCGCGGUAAUACAUAGGGUGCAAGCGUUGUCCGGAAUUAUUGGGCGUAAAGAGCUCGUAGGUGGUUCGUCACGUCGGAUGUGAAAAUCUGGGGCUCAACCCCAGACCUGCAUUCGAUACGGGCGAUCUAGAGUGUGGUAGGGGAGACUGGAAUUCCUGGUGUAGCGGUGGAAUGCGCAGAUAUCAGGAGGAACACCAAUGGCGAAGGCAGGUCUCUGGGCCAUUACUGACACUGAGGAGCGAAAGCGUGGGGAGCGAACAGGAUUAGAUACCCUGGUAGUCCACGCCGUAAACGGUGGGCACUAGUUGUGGGAACCUUCCACGGUUUCUGCGACGCAGCUAACGCAUUAAGUGCCCCGCCUGGGGAGUACGAUCGCAAGAUUAAAACUCAAAUGAAUUGACGGCUGAGAGNGCGACGACGACGACGAGGGAGAGG